rnacentral:rRNA from 1 species
UACGUAGGGGGCAAGCGUUGGCCGGAUUUAUUGGGCGUAAAGAGCGUGUAGGCGGCCUGACAAGUCUGCUGUGAAAACUCGAGGCUCAACCUCGAGAUGUCGGCGGAAACUGUCUGGCUAGAGUCCGGAAGAGGAGAGUGGAAUUCCUGGUGUAGCGGUGAAAUGCGCAGAUAUCAGGAAGAACACCUAUGGCGAAGGCAGCUCUCUGGGACGGUACUGACGCUGAGACGCGAAAGCGUGGGGAGCGAACAGG